GAAUUUUGCUACUUUUCAGGAGACACAAAAAACUUCACAGAUCUAAUAAUAACUGGCGAAUUGAAUGGUUCCUUAAAUACAUGCUAAAUAAGACUACCUUCAAGGUAGCUACGAGAACGUAGCUAAAAACGUUGAGAUAUACUGAUGUGUUUGUUUUUAGCUACGAUUGGCAGCCUUCAGUUUGACAUGGCAAACUCAUUUAGUACACGCCCUUUUUACCAUAUCCUGAGGUCUGCAAUUUAUUAUCAGGUCCAAAAUUGCCUUUUUGAUUGGCUGUUAUAAAAGCCUAAUUUAGCCCCGCCUUCAAAAUGACAUAUUAUACGGUCUAUAUGCUGUUUAUAAAGAUGGCGGUCUUAGUAACGGCUUAACGCCUCGAUUUUAAAUACGACGAUUUUACCCGUUUCAGUUUAUUUAUUAGAUGCCAUAGCAGUCAAAAAAAAAGUGGGAGAAGAAAGAGCUGAAGAAAGGAUGAUUACAGCAUCUAUGAUUUCUGAUAGGUGUUUUUGAUGGUUAACUACAUCGGAAAGAUCAAGACAGUUGGAAAGGGCUAUUCAUAUUAUGGAAACUUUUUCUCACAGAGCUUGAUAAUCAGGCAAAAUGCUGGAACACCCUUGCAAGUGUAUUUGAUGUAUGAUAAGAACGAGAGAACCCAACCAUACCUUUUGAAUAUUUUACCAUUAAUUUAUUUUAUAGUUCUGGAAAAGAAUGCAUUUGACCUAUUUUUUUAACUAUUUUUUAAUUUGUUUUUAAUGUUAAAUAUCCUCCCCAAACACAAUUAGAUUUUAAUUCUCUCCAGAAAUUUAUGUAUAAUAUAGAAAGUAAAGUGACAUAUAAAUCACUUAGAAUUUGGUCGGAAAUCCUAAAGUAUUUAAUAGAUCUAGAAAACAAAUAUAUGCAGAAUUACAAAAAUCCCGUGACCUACAUUAAGGUGACUUUCUCUUGGUUAUCAAAUGAAAUAGGGUUUAAUAUCCUACCUUUCUGUGUUGUUAUGGUAAUUCUGCCCUACAACCUACUCUUUUAUCAAAUAUUUCAAAGGUUUCUUUAAAAUGAACACAGGAAGCGAUGGGUGGCGGAAUGGUUAACACGCGCACAUUGGAUCAGAUCUGGCAUUGAGUAAAAUAUUUAAAUUGUCAAGGUUUCUUUAAAGUGAACAAAUUGGGGGUGGUUUUGAUUCCCCGCUUGUACGUGACAAGGAGUAGGUGCACCUGUCAAACCUCGCAGGUUUUCUCCCACUACGAAAGACCCCUAUGCUCAAGUGAAUUCUUUAAAGUGAACAAAUUGGGGGUGGUUUUGAUUCCCCGCUUGUACGUGACAAGGAGUAGGUGCACCUGUCAAACCUCGCAGGUUUUCUCCCACUACGAAAGACCCCUAUGCUCAAGUGAAUUAUUGAAAUAAUAUUGAACCUUAUGUUAGUCCCUAAUUGACCCAGUUUGUGUCGAGUGGAGACUAAACCCUAUUUCUAUCUUGCUUUAAAAUACACACCAAAGGUGUUUAUGAGACCUAGGUUUAUUGUCCUUUGCGAACAACUAUAUCAUCCCUUGCCAUGUCCUACACCACUGACAUGGGGGAACUAUGCCGGUAAAUCCAGAUGAAAUUUCUCGGCCAACGCCUUAUACUCACUGAACCAAUGUAGCUCCCCCUUGCUUAUGACUUUUUUAUAAAUAUUUUGUACAUAUUUAUUAUUUGCCAUUUUCUCUGAUAUUUUUAUUUCGUUUAUUUUACAAUAACCUGUAAUCUUGGUGCUUUCAUUAUUCAAUGGGCGCUCCUUUUAUAACUCCUGCAAUAGUGCAUUUUUCUUUUGUUAGUAGUUCUGUGUAUGCUACUUAUUUCUAGAUGCCUCACAAAUCACUUGUUAAAUGACUUUGAUGCACUUUCAGUUUUUGAAAGUAUUUCAAUUUGAUGCAUAAUUAUGUCAUUAUAUAACACAAUUUCAUUAGUAUUGGGGGGGGGGGGAUCACGUGGCUAAGUGGGUAAGACGCUAGCUCGCUAGCCUGGAGGUCGGGUGUUCGAUCCCUGCAUUGGCCGAGAAAGUUCAUCCAGAUUUUCCGGCGUGGUUCUCCCUUGUCAGUGAUGCAGGACGGAGGGGCUGACAAGGAAAGCUGUCUAGUCGUUCGGAUGGGACGAAAAACCGAGGUCCCGUGUACACAUUGGUGUGCACGUAAAAGAUCCCUUGGCAGUUGGAAUUCGAUAUAAGAGUAGGCCGUAGUGCCGCUGUCUGGGCAAAAUUUCCCUCAUAGCACACUGUAUGGCGUAUGCCCGUCUUCAUUAGCCCAGUUCGGAGCAGAACAGUAGGACGUUAAACCCCAUUUCAUUAGUAUUGGAAUUAAUUUUCUGUUAACAUUCCAAAUGUCUAUUAGUUUUGAUUUGACAGUAUUAAUUUACUUUUUCCUAUCAUUUUUAAAUAAAUAAUAAUUUAACAAACAAA